rnacentral:misc_RNA from 1 species
GAUGAAGAACGUAGCGAAAUGCGAUAAGUAAUGCGAAUUGCAGAAUUCCGUGAGUCAUCGAAUCUUUGAACGCACAUUGCGCCCUCUGGUAUUCCGGAGGGCAUGCCUGUCCGAGCGUCAUUGCUGCCCUCAAGCACGGCUUGUGUGUUGGGCUCCGUCCCCCGAUCCCGGGGGACGGGCCCGAAAGGCAGCGGCGGCACCGCGUCCGGUCCUCGAGCGUAUGGGGCUUUGUCACCCGCUCUGUAGGCCCGGCCGGCGCUUGCCGAUCAACCAAAUUUUUAUCCAGGUUGACCUCGGAUCAGGUAGGGAUACCCGCUGAACUUAAGCAUAUCAAUAAGCGGAGGA